CAGCCGUAAACUAUGCGCGUUAGGUGUAUCGGUGACCACGAGUUACCGAGGUGCCGAAGGGAAACCGUGAAACGUGCCGCCUGGGAAGUACGGUCGCAAGGCUGAAACUUAAAGGAAUUGGCGGGGGAGCACCACAACAGGUGGAGCCUGCGGUUUAAUUGGACUCAACGCCGGGAAGCUCACCGGAUAGGACAGCAGAAUGAUUGCCGGGCUGAAGACCCUGCAUGACUAGCUGAGAGGAGGUGCAUGGCCGUCAGUGACU
rnacentral:rRNA from 1 species